CCCAUCUCCCUCCUCCGCCCCAGGGCCUAGCCUUGACGCUGUUCUUUUCUGGAGGAACUGCAACGAGGCUGAGUACACGCAUACCAUCUUCUCACACCUGAAUGCCCAAAUGGAGAGCAUGGCCUCCAGGAUCCAGUCCGAGCAGGCCAGUGCGGAGGAUUAUGAGGUUGCACUGCAAGUGAUGAGGGUCUCUGGACAGCUCCCACAUUUACUGGAGGCCAAGGAAGCAGAAUUACAGGCGAAAAUAUUUCAACUGCAAAGAAAAGCCAACGCCAUGGGGAGAGCCAGCUCAGCUCUGAGGAAAUAGAACCUUUUCCUUUGAACUUUUACUCUGACCCUUUUCAUUCUCUUACCAUGGAUUUUACACACUUGCUGCACUUAUUUUAUGCAAAGUAAAAAAUGGGUUAUGUUAUGUGACAUAAGUAAGUUAUUGUUAUGCAAGUUCUUUGUCCCGUGUUGUAACUUGGAUCUCUUCCUAAAGGGAGUAGCCAAACGAUACUGUUAUCUUAAAAUCCACUCCCCUGAUUUCGACACUUUCAAGGAGGAGUGUUACGCGCACGUUCACAAUUUGGAUUGGAUUGGAUUCACUUUAAUUUAAGGCUUUUACUGAACCAAAAAAUAAAUGAAAAAAAUAUAUUUUGUUAAUGGCCAAAAGGUGGCACUGUUCUGUUCCUUUAGGUAUCUUAAAUCAUAUUUUAGGUUCGCUAGAGGAACGGUAAUAAACGUUUAGCAGAAACUCUGACAUGCAAUCAAAGUAGUUUUCAGGAAUCUACAGAUGACUACCAUUCAUUUAAGCCCUAAAUUGUGCUUGUACUCAAAUGGGUUCUUAUUUGAUUACAGUUUGGAUUGUAGGUGAACGGGUAUUUUUUCUCUAUCUUCAAAAAUACACUGAGAGGACACAAAUGGACAUACUUUUACACUAACAUCUGUCCAAAUUUAAUUUAUCAUGCUUAUUGAUCUACUUUGACAUAUACAUAUGGGGCUAGGGCUCAGUUGUGCUUAGAUCACAACUAUCCCAUAUAUAUAUCCCAUAUUACCAAAAUGUUUGUAAAUGCCAGGAAGAGAAGAACAACAUUCAUGCCUCUGUCACUCUGUUACUGUACUAGACACAGUUAUUGUGUCUGUUAUAUGCUGAUCUACAGAGUCUCAGCUUUCCAAAGAGCCCAUGCACUUGAUUAUCAGUAUGUGAGUACAGUGCAAUACAAUAGAUGUGUCAAGUCAAGUCAGGUUUAUUUAUAUAGCAUAUUCAACACAAUUUUAAAUUGACCCAAAGUGCUUAUAAAAUACAAACAAUUAAAUUAAAGUGAUAAUAAGUGAAUGAAUAGAAUAGUGUCAUAGAAAAAGAUUUAAAAAAACCAUCAAAGAAUAACAAGAUAAGAAUUGAUGUCAAAAAGAAUAAUGAUGGUCUGAAUAUGAUUAUUGACUGGGUGAAAGUACUAAUACUAAUACUAGGCUGAUGACACUGGUGAUACAGUUGAUAAAAUAAAGAUCGAACAAAGACAAUGUGGGGUGGGGGUGGGGUAGGUAGGGGGAGAAUGAAUAAUGCUGAUGAAGGAAAUAAAAUAAAAUAAACAACCAAAUGGAAAUUUAUGAAUGUUAAAGGCCAGGGGAAAAAGAUAGGUCUUUAUAGACUUAAAUCUACUGAUAGUGGAGGAGGGUUUUGGUUAUUCCAGAGGCGGGGGGCAGCAAAGAAAGCCCUAUCAGCUUUGGUUUUUAGGCAAGAGUUUGGGACUGAUAGCCUAGUAGUUGCUGAGAGGAAGAUCUAAGAGGUGCCAACCCAUUAUGGACUUCAAAAACAAAAAACAAAACUUGAAAAUCCAUUCUAAAUUUGAUAGGUAACCAGUGAAGUUGGGCCAAGACAGGAGUUAUGUGCAACUGAUAAGGACAGUAGGCGCAUUUGCAAUUUUGGGAAGGUGGCCUGCAAGAAAUAUAGUGUAGUAGUGUGUCUUAUUAGUACUUAGCAGAACAGAUUUACAUUGGUCUGGGGUGUCUGGGUCCCAUAACUCGGAAGCUAUUGAGGAAAAAGCAAUUUUCCAUGGGAAAUAAAUGGGAUUCUUAAAAAAUUCAAAUAAAAUAGGAGGUGCAAAAUUUGAAUUUCUAGUGAGGUGUGUCUUAUAAGUACUAAUUAGCAGAACAGAUUUACAUUUGUCUGGGGUGAGUGGGUCCCAUAACUCGGAAGCUAUUGAGCAAAAGCCGUUUAUUCAUAGGAAAUGAAUGGGAUUCUUAAAAAAAUUAAAUAAAAUAGGAGGUGAAAAUUAUGAAUUUUUAGUGAGGUGUGUCUUGUUAGUACCACAUAGCAUGAAAGGUCUGCAUUGGUCUGGGCUGUCUGGGUCCCAUAACUCGGAAUGUAUUGAGCAAAAGGCAAUUUUGAAUAUCCGAAUAUCUGUUGAAUGUCCAACAUCAAACUAACUUCACCACGGUACUGAUGCUGACAUAAGUGACCUAAGUGACCAACGUGACCUGACCUAAUUAGCAGCGCCCAUUAAUUAAGUAAGGGAUAAUUUAAUUUUCAGCAAGCCGGUCCUAAUUACAAACUUCCCGACAGGGUGAUGCAGAGUUCGAUGUCCUUGACAAAACAUUCAACAUAAUAAUUAAAUGAAUGUUGAUUACAUACUUGCAAUAUCAGGAUAGCAUAUAGAUAGGCAUGUUUAGAUUUGACACAAUGAACUCUGGAUUAACAUGUAAUGUUUCUCAAAUCUCAAAUACCCAUCAAAUUAACUUCCAUAAGAAAGCUAUAGCUUGGACCUUGGUGAAUAAACACAAACACAAUUUCACCACACAUUGUGUGCAACCCUUGAACGUCUUUAAUCACAUCCCGGUCCGUGCAUGACCUGCGCGGAAGGGGCAGAGCCGGUAACUCUGGUUGCCAGCGCCGGGCUCUCCAUAUGUGUUGGCACCCCAUGCGUAGAGCAGGCGUUCAUCUGUAAGUGCCAAGGAUUCAGUCAGCACCAUCCAGAGACUACACGGGCAGGGAAACCACCCAUAUGGGGAGUCGAAACCCACUCCGUGUAGGUUUGUAGCUUCUCCGGGUUUAGACUGCAAUUAAAGUAAACGGUAGUCUCCCAACCCAAAACGAUCUGUUUGCUGCGAGAUCGGAGGGUACUUAUUACUUGGUAGACUACACGUAUGGUUGUUGGCCAUAAGCUUGUCUUCAAUUUUAAUUUCGUUUGUCUUUUCUGACUGCUAUUGAUACAAUGUUGGUAUGCAAUAAUAGACAAGAGUAUAUCUGAAGAGUAGCCUACAAUAUAGAUACAUUAGGUUGCCUACUUUGUAACUACGUAUGAUAAUUGGAGCCUUCGACCUCGAAAAUAUAAUUUUUUUCAGCCAUUAUUUUGAAACCACUUACCACAGGGAACAGUUCCUGUUUUUUUUCCCCACACCAAGCUGCCUGCUUCUAUUGCAGCCCCAGCAGUAGGCUGCCCCUGCCGAGAGAAGAAGGGUUCAGAACAUACACUUGGGGGUCUCCCUCCUCCUCUGCAGCAGUGGCCAGCACCCGACCACAGCUGCUGAAGCCCAAUCCUGUAAACCCCUGAUUCAUGUAAACACCUGAUUAUAACAAUGUUAGAGAAAGGUGACAUGCAGAGGAGACGGGGGAGGGGAAAGAGGGAGCAAGUUGUAAUGCCAAAGCCUCUAUAUUUGAUGGGAGCUUAGCAAGGCUACUGAGGCUGUUGCUAUUCAUGACCUCUGAACUACGCCGGCUGGGGAUUUUUACCUAUUGUGUCCUGCAAAACAUUACAAGGCUGCCUGCAUGCAGAUUAACAAUGGCAGCCAUUGUAGCCACGGCUUUGUGGCAUU